rnacentral:rRNA from 1 species
CACGUAAGGGGCAAGCGUUGUUCGGAAUUAUUGGGCGUAAAGGGUACGUAGGCGGUUUUGUAAGCCCGGCGUGAAAUACUGGAGCUCAACUCCAGAACUGCGUUGGGAACUGCAAGACUUGAGUCAUGGAAGGGGAGUUGGAAUUCCAGGUGUAGGGGUGAAAUCUGUAGAUAUCUGGAAGAACACCGGUGGCGAAGGCGAACUCCUGGCCAAUGACUGACGCUGAGGUACGAAAGUGCGGGGAGCAAACAGG